rnacentral:rRNA from 1 species
AUUGAACGCUGGCGGCAUGCCUUACACAUGCAAGUCGAACGGUAACAGGUCUUCGGAUGCUGACGAGUGGCGAACGGGUGAGUAAUACAUCGGAACGUGCCUAGUAGUGGGGGAUAACUACUCGAAAGAGUGGCUAAUACCGCAUGAGAUCUACGGAUGAAAGCAGGGGAUCGCAAGACCUUGUGCUACUAGAGCGGCCGAUGGCAGAUUAGGUAGUUGGUGGGAUAAAAGCUUACCAAGCCGACGAUCUGUAGCUGGUCUGAGAGGACGAUCGGCCAGACUGGGACUGAGACACGGCCCAGACUCCUACGGGAGGCAGCAGUGGGGAAUUUUGGACAAUGGGAGAAAGCCUGAUCCAGCAAUGCCGCGUGCAGGAUGAAGGCCUUCGGGUUGUAAACUGCUUUUGUACGGAACGAAAAGCCCCGGGUUAAUACCCUGGGGUCAUGACGGUACCGUAAGAAUAAGCACCGGCUAACUACGUGCCAGCCGCCGCAGUAA